rnacentral:rRNA from 1 species
GAUGAACGCUAGCGGCAGGCUUAACACAUGCAAGUCGAGGGGCAGCAUAAAUAGUAGCAAUACUAUUGGUGGCGACCGGCGGACGGGUGCGUAACGCGUAAACAACCUUCCCUAAACAGGGGGAUAAUCUGGAGAAAUUCGGUCUAAUACCCCAUAACGUCAGAGCAGGCAUCUGUUUUGGUUAAAAUUUCCGGAGGUUUAGGAUGGGUAUGCGUAGCAUUAGCUAGUUGGUGAGGUAACGGCUCACCAAGGCGACGAUGCUUAGGGGGACUGAGAGGUUAACCCCCCACACUGGUACUGAGACACGGACCAGACUCCUACGGGAGGCAGCAGUGAGGAAUAUUGGUCAAUGGGCGGAAGCCUGAACCAGCCAUGCCGCGUGCAGGAUGACGGCUCUAUGAGUUGUAAACUGCUUUUGUGCGAGGGUAAAGUGGGCUACGUGUAGCCUUUUGAAAGUAUCGUACGAAUGAGGAUCGGCUAACUCCGUGCCAGCCGCCGCCGUAA